CCUACGGGAGGCUGCAGUAGGGAAUAUUGCUCAAUGGGGGAAACCCUGAAGCAGCAACGCCGCGUGGAGGAUGACGGCCUUCGGAUUGUAAACCUCUUUUGUUAGAGAAGAUAAUGACGGUAUCUAACGAAUAAGCACCGGACAAUUCCGUGCCAGCAGCCGCGGUAAUACGGAGGGUGCAAGCGUUACUCGGAAUCACUGGGCGUAAAGAGCGCGUAGGCGGGAUAGCAAGUCAGAUGUGAAAUCCUAUGGCUUAACCAUAGAACUGCAUUUGAAACUGUUAUUCUAGAGUAUGGGAGAGGUAGGUGGAAUUCUUGGUGUAGGGGUAAAAUCCGUAGAGAUCAAGAAGAAUACUCAUUGCGAAGGCAGCCUACUAGAACGUAACUGACGCUGAUGCGCGAAAGCGUGGGGAGCAAACAGGAUUAGAUACCCCGGUAGUC
rnacentral:rRNA from 1 species